rnacentral:lncRNA from 1 species
UGUUUGGCGGUAGAAUGGUGGUUCCAGAAACUAAAGAGCCAGAGGAGGUCUCGAGACCGGUCUAUCGCUUCCAAAGGGUGCUAGAUCAAAUUAUGGCCAUUUACUUUUCCUUCUUCAAAAUGGGAGAGGAAAUUCCUUUUGUUUUUGGUGGGAUGAAUUGCCUAUUUUUUUGCAUGUGUGUAGCAAGAGCCUUUUAGGGGUUUAAUGUUCAUAUCUAGAUAAAGGCUAAGAUGAUGAAGCUUAGCCGUCUCAUAUUUGCAUCUGUGAUGCUCUGCUUUUGGGUAAAACCCUAUUUCGUGUCAUUUUUUUGCCGUGAACCGCAUCAAGGAUUCACUACGAAAGGAUGUGGUUAAGGCCGCCAUCUUGCAUUGCUCUAUAUUUGUAUAUGUGUUUUGGUCUCUGCCUUAGAUGUUCUGUGAUGUAUUCGUCCUCUUAGGUCUAUGAUUAUAUGUUAUGGUUUGUUGGGAUAGCUAAUGUUCUGUGAUGAUUUGGAAGCUUGAAAAAACAUGAACUUGAAAGCUUUAAAAUACUGUUACAUAUUACAUACUACUUCUACAAAAUAAAGUGGAUCCUUACAUUGCAUACAUGUCUCUUUUCCUCUAAUCAAGCAAUCUUUCAUCACCAUUUUGGUGAUGGACUGCACUGGCUUUGUCUCUAGUGUUCAUUAAACUAUGUUCUUACUCCUUCUUUGUGCUGUAACAAAUUGUGUGAAUGGCAAAAUUUCAAUUUUUCCAUCAAACAGUCUCCAUUCUCAUCAAAAAGGGGCUUGCAAACCGCACACAUAAACAUCACCUUGGUGAUGAAUUUUUUGCUCUUACAACUCCUAUGUGGUUUAGGCUUCUCUUGAGUGAGAUGGAAUCGAUGUGAUGCUUUUAUCAUAUAGAACCACUUUUCACCUAUGUGUAUUGUAUUGUGCAUUAGUCUUAAAUUUCAUAAUAUUGGCAAUUUUGUCAUAUUCUAAGGCUUGAAGAGAAAUCCUUAACCUUGAGAGCUUAUUGGGGCCUGUAAGAUCUGGCUUAAUGGCGCUUGUGUGAGCUCUGAUUUAUGUUUAAUUUACACUAUUUUUAAGGGUUUGAAUGUGCGUGUUUAAAGAUAAUCUUCUGGAAUUUGGUGCGUUUAUGGUGUAUUUUAUGCUUUGCAGGAGAUUUAGACUCUCGAGAUGGAAGAAUGCAGUUUUGGAUGAAUCUAGCGUUUUCCAGAGGAACCGACAUCUCCAGAGCAGAGAAAUCACCAUUUCACUGGAAUCAGAGGAAUCGAAGCGAGUGCGGAAUCGCCAGAGAAAUCAAUCAGAGGAGUCGCUAGUCAGAGGAGUCGCUAGUAAGAGGAAUAGAGAAGCCAGAGCAGAGGAAUCAUAUAUUCCUCUGCCGAGAGUCCCAGCUGCCAGAGAAAUCAAGACCUCAAUUUCAGAGGAGUCACCAUUCCUCUGAAGAAAGCCAGAGCGGAAAAUGUCAGAGGAGUUGAUUCCCCGCUGACCAGAGCUGACGAAGUACCAGAGAUAUCACCCAUUCCUCUGGCGAUAGCAGAGAAUUCACCGUUCCUCUGGCAAAUGCCAGAGAGAUCAUCAUUCCGCUGGCGACCCAUUUCUCUGGCGAGGUCAGGGAAAUCAUCCAUUCCUCUGGCGAGAGCUGCGAAGUCGGCGCAAGUGGGAGAGUUUCUUCGGAGUGCGCAUCUAGCUGGAGAGUUGCCUUAAUUCACACGAUUCUAUUGCCAUUAGAAUUCUACUUUGCAUGGCAACUUUUAUGGUGAUCCAAAGGAAAUCUGAAGCUUAUAAAUAGGCCUUCCUUUGACCUAUUAAAGGAGAACCCCGAACCCUAGUAUUCAUACUUUAGUUUUUAGCUUUAGAAUUUUAUUGCUUUCUAGUUUUUAAGGUUUGGAUCAAGAUUGAAGAUUCAAGCCGCUACAAUAAUUUAAUUCGGUUUUAUAUAAUUAGUUUUUACAAUUGCAUUCUUUUUAAUUAUGUUUAUGUUUUAUUUAGCAUGUCUGGCUAGUUCCCUUUAGCUGAUUCUAGGGUUUGUAAAUAGUUGAUUGAAUUUAUGUGAUUUAUUUGUUAAUACCUUUGUGCCUUCCAGUUUAUGAUUCAUAAUUCCUGGUGCUUGAAUUCUUGUGAAUUAUCUGAUCAAUAGUUUGCAUGUUUAGCUAUUCGGUUUGAGACCUAGCGGAGAUAACUGUUUAGCGGAUUCAGGAAUGUAUGAUAUGAUUUUAACCUUGAGACCUAGCGGAGAUAGGUGGAUCAUAGGGAGCUAUUCUUAGGAACUUUUGGGAGUUAGUAGAUUUUCUUGAGACCUAGCGGAGAUAGAGAAUUUACUAAUCUACGAUCGUUGCUGCUCUAGCGAGAGUAAUUGAUUAAUUAAGUGAUCUCUCAUCAUAACUGGAUUAAACUGGUACAUAGGAUUAAUAGAUUUAUUUCGUAGAUUUAAUUGAUGAAUUUACUACCCUAGGAUCAGUUGUCUUUUAUACUUGGUAUUUCCUAAGUGAUUUUAAUUAUUGUUAUUUGCGUUUUAAUUAAUUAAACCGUCCUUCUUUUGUUUGCCUGAAUAUUACUAGAGUUCAAUUAGGAUUACUUAGAGUGAUUCGUUGUAAUAGUCCCUGUGGAUACGAUACUCGGUUACUUGUUAUAUGUGCUACAAUUACACCGUGUUAGUUGUGGUAAUUUGUUGCUAAUAAAUUAGUGAUCAAGCUCUGAUUAGCCCUAGAUGAACUCAUCUUCAACUGUGCUAUUGCUACACUUUAUGCCUAUUGCUAGUUUCCUAAUAGUUCAUAUUCUACACAGCUCAAAACUUUGAAUUUGUGCUAAAUCUAUUUGAACUCUCUUUGUGAAUCGUGGUGCAUUUUUUUUCGUGCUUAAAUAAUAACUUGACCUUGUGUUUUUUGUUUCUUUGCUUUAGUCCAUAGACGAGUGGUUGUCCGCCUCGAUGAGUUGAAAAUGGCGGUUGCUUCCUUCAAGUUUUGGAGAAGAAAUUGCACAACAAGGUUCUUUUUGUUGCUCACUAUAUAACAUCCUUCAAGUGCAUUGAUAUGAAUUUUUUGAAGAGGAAGACACAAGACGAAGAUGAAGAAAGGUGAAGAAAUAUUGGUGUACUUAUACAUUCUGUUUAGAGGUAAAGUUUAAGUUUUAAAAACAUUUUGGCUGUUUCCUUUCUGGCGCCAGAAAAUCCGAUUCGGCUUUUGUAUGGAAGAUUGAAUUUUGUUCCUAAUUUUUGAAUUCAGCCACCAUUUAUAUGAAAUAUUGCAAUCUCAAAUUUUAGUUCCUUAUUUUUUAAUUCAACUGCCAUUUUGUGUCUUCAAUCAGCAGCAGUUUAACUUAAAUUGAACAACCAUUUUAAUUUAAUUCAGUUUCUAGUAUAAAAUGCACUCCAAUCAGCAGCAGUUUAACUUAAAUUGAACAACCAUUUUAAUUUAAUUCAGUUUCUAGUAUAAAAUGUACUAAGUCAAUGAAGAUGAUUAAACAAAAAGUAGGAGUAUAAUUAAAAUGCUAAAGUUGUGAGGGCAACACCACUUUUCUUCCAUUUUUUUUAAUCUCCGUGCCAAAAAGAAAUGAACCUGUGUUAGAUUGAGACGGAGGGAGUGUAUUUAAUGUGAUUGGUUGAAAUAUUACUUUUUAAAUCAUUAAAAUAAGAUGUUAAACAAUAAGAAUAAAAAUAUUUUAAAAAAAAUACUACUCCCUCCGUCCCACUAAGCAUGACUCCUUAUUUUUGGCACAAUUAUUAAAAAGAAAAAUGAUUAAAGAAGAAAAGUGAUAAAAAAAAAUGGUGGAAUGGAAUCCACAACUUUUUAUAAUACAAAGGGAUUUCCUUUUUUGUAGAGGGUCAUUUGUACUAAUGGAGCAACCUAAAAUGACAAGGGGGAAUGAAAGUAUUUCUCCCACAAGCAUACAACAAUAAGAGGGGGUAAUUUUUCUUUGCGUUCCCUGCCUCCUUAGGGUUUUGUCCUCUCUAGAGUUUUGUUCUAGGUUUUGUCCUACUCGUUUGACGGCGUGACGUCUCUACCUUGAUCUUCGUUCACUGGUGUCUCCCCUCUGUCUUCCUUUUGUCGUCCUCCUCUCUUUCUGUGCCCUCGUCUUCUGUCUCCUUUUCUCUGCCCCUUCGAGCCCUUGCUUGUGCAGGUGUUUCUCUUUUUUGUGUUUAGGUUUUCUUGGUGGCGGCUGUUCUGGAUUGGUGUUUUUGCCCUCUUUUCUUUUCUGUUUUUGAUUUCAGGUUAUGGAGCGAGGAGGUUCUUCGCGGGAUUAUGGGUAUGGCUCGAAUCCGGAGAAUCGACUGAACGGGAAUCCGAAGUUGUGACAUUGGCCCUUGCCUCCCAUAACCCUACUUCUGCUCAAGCAACACUUGCAUGGUUGGCGUCUGGUGAGCCAAAAACCCCCAAUGGCUAUCAUCUUAUUGAGGUUAUGACAAAUCCUGGAAAUCUCGCUGCAAUGUGACGGGGCGAGAGUGGAAGAAAAACUUGUUCCUUUUCAAUUUUGAGAACGAGGAUGAUAGAGAAUGGGUCAUAAAGAGGUAGCCGUGGCAUUUUGAUGGCAACCUCCUUGCUAUUGCGGCGCUUGAUGGGGCGGUUCAACCCUCAAGUAUAAAACUAACCCACUGUUCUUUCUGGGUAAGGGCGUAUGACCUGCCCAUGAGAUGCAUGACGGAAGACACUCUUCGGAAUAUAGGCCAGAAAAUUGGAGUGAUUGAUGAACUGGAUCUUGAAGCUAACUAUCAAGGGUGCUUUGCUCGCUUCAAAAUUAGUUUCGAUGUUUCUCAACCACUUCUGAGAGGUGUGACUAUCAUGUUCGAUGGACAGAAGCUCUGGAUUCCACUAAAAUAUGAGAAUCUUCCCAUCUACUGCUACAAAUGUGGUACUAUUGGGCACCAGACCAGAUCUUAUGAAAGGAGUGUUGACGAUGAUGAAGAUGGAACUCAGUAUGAUGACCUUAUGUAGGACCUGCUCUUAAGGCUUCACCCCUCAAACGAACUAGAACCCAACACCAAAAGACGCUGCUGCUGCCACUCAACCCCUAAUCCGUCGAAACCUGGCCCGUGGCCCUUUCAAGCCACGCCCACCACCCUUCCAUACAAUCCGUCCCCUGAGAACUCUCCUCCCCUUACCACCACAUCUUCCACAAAAAAACUCAUCUCACUAAAGCUGCUACCAACCCCCAUAAUAACUCAUGCACUCACAUAUCUUCAGAUCCCUACCAGACCUUUCGACAGCCUGAUGCUGAUGCUAUCAACCCCGAAAAAACUCAUCUCACAUCAAAAGUCCUUAGUUUACCUGAAGCCACAGACAGUUACACACCAACCAAAGAUCUUUUAGCCCGUCUUAACAUCCCUCACUCCACGAGUACCCUCCACUCCAAUACACCGGGCUCAGCUUUACUUACAACCCCUACUCCCAAAAAAUGGUCCAGACAUCAGAGGAACCCAACCAUUACUACUACUGAAACUGACCCUCCCAAACCUAAGAGCCUUUUCCCUAUGGAUAUUUCCAGAAAACGUCAUUUGCGCGAGGAGGAAAAUGACGUUUCUUUUGUCAAUAUGGAAGAUGUUGAUCUUGUUCAGAAACGACUCAAGGGAACCCUUCUUACUGACUCUACCACCUCAGCUGCACUAUCGGCGGAGAUUGCUUUUGAGCAAUCCCGCCGGGCACAAUGAAUUCGCUAGUUUGGAACUGUCGAGGGCUUGGGAACCCAUCGACAGUUCGUCAGCUGGUUUGGUUAACCAAACAAAAGAAACCCAGCAUUGUUUUCUUAAUGGAAACAAAGCUUGUCCGUGAUGAGUGGCAGCCGAUCCUAUCCAAGGUUGCUUUUGAAAACUUCUUUGUUGUUGAUUGCUCGCGGGAUGGAGGCGGGCGGAGUGGUGGGCUUUGUCUCAUCUGGACGGAUGAUAUUAUCCUGGAUAUCAAAUCUCAUUCUACCAACCAUAUUUUGGCUCAAGUGUCUGGCUCUAGCUUUCCUGAGCAGUGGGAUUUUUGUGGGAUUUAUGGGUGGAGUCGUACGGAGGAUCACAAGCUCACCUGGGAUCUUAUGAUGCGUCUUCUCCCGUUGUGUAACACGAGAUGGAUUUGUGGUGGGGAUUUUAACGAAACUCUUUAUCAUUUUGAGAAGCGGGGUGGGCAGGCGAAGGCGGACUCUAGACUCCAAGCUUUCAGGGAUGUCAUUGAUCACUGUGGGCUUAUUGACUUGGGCUACGAGGGUGAUCCGUACACUUGGUCAAAUAACCAGCAGGGUGAUGCCCAUAUCAUGGAAAGGAUUGAUAGAUUUUUUGGAAGCAGCUGUGGAUUGAAGAGCAUAUGGGGUACAAGGUGUCUCAUCUUCCAAGGAAAUCCAGUGACCAUUGCCCUCUUUUUCUCUGUGAUGAGACGCUGGAGGUUGAAGAUCCUUAUCGGAGUCGCCCGUUUCGGUUCGAGGCGAUGUGGUUAAAGGAUGAUCGUUGUAAACUUGUGUGCGAAGAUUUAUGGAACAUGGGUGGAGGCUUUUCUACCGCUAAUGACACCAAACAAAAGCUAGCUGAUAUGGGAAGAGAAUUGAAGCUUUGGGAGAGGCACAAAUUUGGGCAUAUUAGGAAGACUACAGCCAUGCUCCGUCAAAGGCUAGCGGAGUUGCAGAGACCCUAUUGUGAUGCAAAUACUAAAGACGAACAGAUGCAGGUUGAGUCGGAGCUUGACGACUUGCUUAACAAGGAGGAGAUUAUGUGGAAGCAGCGGUCCCGAGCGGACUGGCUUGUGGAGGGGGACCGCAACACCGGGUUCUUCCAUAAAGUUGCAGCGGGAAGGAAAAAACGCAAUCACAUUAAAUAUAUCCAUUGUCCCGAUGGACGAGUUACUAAGAACAAUAAGGAGAUUGAGAGGGUGUUUCAGGAGUACUUUCAGGACCUUUUUUCGGUAGGCCAUACCCUUGAUCCUGCGUCGAUUCUUCAAGCUGUUGAACCUGUAGUCACUUCGGAAAUGAACAGGGUGCUCACCUCCCCCUACACCGCCGCUGAGAUUGUCUAUGCGCUAAAACAGAUGCACCCUCUGAAAGCGCCUGGACCGGACGGUAUGCCGGUUAUCUUUACUCCUCUUGUUGGAAUUUUUUGAGUAUUGAUCUGCUACCUGUUUUACUUAGUAUCCUGAAUGGGGGGGCGAGUCCGGGUCCGCUAAAUUCCACUUAUAUUUGCCUCAUCCCAAAGAAAAAAAACUGUGUUUGUCCAGCUGACUACCGCCCCAUUAGUUUGUGUAAUGUGGUGUACAAAAUAAUUUCUAAGGUCAUCACUAAUAGACUCAAAAUGGUUCCACCUGAUAUUAUUAACGAACACCAGUCUGCUUUUGUUCCAGGUCGUCAUAUUACCGAUAAUGCACUCUUAGCUUUUGAAAUUUUCCACAUGAUGAAGAUUAACAAGGCUAGUAAGAAAGGUGUUUUUGCUUUUAAACUUGACAUGGCUAAGGCUUAUGAUCGCGUCGAGUGGGGUUUCUUAGAAGCUAUGAUGAGUCGUUUGGGUUUCCAUGAAUCUGUUGUUGCUUUGAUUAUGCGGUGUGUUAAGACGGUCUCUUUUCAAGUGUUGGUGAAUGGCUUUCCUGGCGAUUCGUUUACUCCUAGCCGGGGCUUACGGCAAGGAGACCCCCUUUUUCCUUAUCUUUUCUUGUUUGUUGCUGAAGCGCUUUCAGGUCUCCUUCGGAGAGCAGAAACUCAGAACUUGUUGAAUGGGGCUCGUCUUUGCCGCUCGAGCCCGAGAGUUAGCCACCUGUUGUUUGCUGAUGAUUGCAUCAUCUUUGGGAGGGCUUGUCACGAAGAGAUUGAGAAGGUUAAGGAGAUUCUUUCUAGUUAUGAAGGUGUCUCUGGUCAAAUGGUGAGUUUAGACAAGUCCUCAAUCACUUUUAGCGGAGGAGUUGUUGAGGAGCUUCGGACAAGCCUUGCUGAUCAACUUGGCGUUAGUAGAGGUACUUCUAAUGGGAAAUAUCUUGGGAUUCCUAGCACGGUGGGGCGCUCCAGAACUGAAAUAUUCCAGAUGCUGGUGGAUAGGACCCGCAAAAAAGCCAAGGAUUGGAAGAGGAGAUAUCUUUCCGGAGCAGGCAAGGUUGUUCUCAUCAAAUCUGUUCUGCAGUCUAUUCCUUCGUAUCUCAUGAGUUGUUUUUGCCUUCCGGAUCAACUCUGUCAGCAACUUAACAGUUUGGCUACUAGCUUCUUUUGGGGCCAAAAGAAUGAUGAACGCCGAAUCCAUUGGCGUAGCUGGAAACGGCUCUGCAUACCGAAAUCUCAAGGUGGCCUCGAAUUUCGGGACAUUAGCCUGUUUAAUCAAGCCAUGCUCGCCAAACAGGCAUGGCGCUUGCAGCAUGCUGAUGGCUCUCUUUUGGCACGUUCCCUUAAAGCCAGGUAUUACCCGAGGUCUGAUUUCCUCCUUGCACCCAAUGCCCAUACUCCCUCUUUUGUGUGGAGAAGCUUGGUUGUAGGACGGAACUUGUUGGCGGAAGGAAUUGCUUGGCGUAUUGGGGAUGGUAGAAGAGUCCGGAUUGGUGAGGACGCAUGGCUGCCGGAUGGAGACGGGUCUUUUACGAAGGGCUGUGUUAGUGAAGCUUGGAGGAGAGGCAUGUGGUGGAUCUGUUUUCUGAGGAAAAUGAGAGUUGGGAUAGGGAGAAGAUUGCUAUGAUCUUCCCGGCUGGGGAUCGAUGGAAGUUUGGAGAUCACUUGCUCUGCAAUCAGCAUGUCCCUGAUCGGAUUUUCUGGCCGGCGGCAAAGUUUGGAUGCUACACGGUGAAAUCUGGCUAUCAUAUUGCAUGCAUGCUUAAACAACGCUCUGACCCGGCGUCGUCUUGCUCGGAUGACGCCUUGUGGAAUUGGGUUUGGAAGAUGGAUGUUAUCCCGAAAGUCAAAUUAUUUAUGUGGAAAUGCUUGAGCGGGGCCAUCCCGACGACUACUUCUCUCCGCCAACGAUCCAUUAGUAUUGAUCCGAUCUGCCAAAGAUGUGGUAUUCAUGCAGAAACUUUGGAACAUGCACUUCGAGAUUGCCCGUGGGCUCAGUUUCUCUGGGCUGCUUCGCCUCUUCGCCUUCAGCCUCUACCUGAUUCGGCGUUGUGCUCCAUCAAAGAUUGGUUCGACUUCUUCCGUGAGAAUCAUCCUAAAGAACCCCAAAAUCUCUUUGUCGUCCUCUGUUGGACUGUGUGGUAUGCUAGAAACUUGAGAACUUUCCAAGAUAAAACUCUUAGCCAUCAAGAUUGCUUCUCGAUCGCGCAGCAUUCAAUGUGGAGCAAAACCGUGAGUAUUCCACAGGCCCGGGUCUCUCGUGCCCCCUCUUUGAGGUGUGAGGAAAACCAGUGGAAGGUGAGCUGUGAUGCCGCUUUUGCUAGAGGUGUGGGUGUGGGUUUGGCAGCUGUGCUUACGGAUGCGGCCGGUGUGGUUUCUGGAUGCCGGUUCGGGUUUGUGGAAGGAGCGUUUACGACUGAAGAAGGGGUGGGCUUGGCUGUUGCGGAAGGUCUGCGCCUAUGCAAAGAGUGGAGGAAAGAGGAUGUUAUUGUAGAAAUGGACUGCCAGAACCUCUUUUGGAAGCUCACCAACUCUUCUACUGACUUCUCUUAUGUGGGUGCUGCUCUGUGGGAUAUUUGUGCGAUUGCUACUAGCUUUCGUCGUGUUUUCUACAGCUGGACUCCCAGGGAGGGUAAUAGUAUUGCUGAUAAGUUAGCUAAGCAUGCUACUGUUUUGCGCAAUGUUUCUUUCUUUACUGGUGUUGUCCCCAGUACUCUUGUUGACUCUCUUGCUUGAUUUAUAAAGUGCUGGCUUUGUUCUCAAAAAACAAAAAAAAAAAAUGACAAGGGGGAUGUAUAUUAAAUGGGAGGGAGGAGUAUUACUGAAAAAAAACUAAAAAUAUAUAAAAAAUAAUUCUAAACUUAAAUAUUUCAUAUGUUAAAAAAAGAAAAAGAAAAAAAAACAAUGUUCCUUGAUGUUGUUCUCUCUCAUACCCCAAGGUCCCCAACCCAAAAAACCCUUUUCUUCUUCCCCCUAAAACCCUUAUUCCUGAAAUCCCCAAAUUUACAUCGAGAAGAUUCCAUCUCCUACGACGAUAUUGUGCAGCCAUAACUCAAGUCGCCGAAAGUUUAUUCAUUUGCAGUCCAGGAGAAGAGAGGGGCAAACGUGCAGUUAGACGCCAUUUACUCGUUUAAUCCUGGUUAGACUUCUCCCCCUCUCUAGAAAUUUCAAAAAUAAUUAAGGUUUCCGGUGGUCUCAGUUUCAUUGACUGCCAUUUUGCUAUAUAUAUAUAUUUUUUUUGGUGUUUUCUAUUGCUAGACGAUAUUGGGUAUUUGAUUUCUACGUAGAACAAAACAUGACGACGGUUUGAUUUUGUUUCGAAUUUCCUGAUAUUCAUUGUUGAUGAGAACGCGCAUUUAAAUGUGGUUUUUUGUUUGUUGUAGCUUAACCUGUUUUGAGACUCGGAUUAUUGCCAUAGUUCUGUUUUGAUAGACCAAGUUAUUCGGUGAAGUAGAUUCCGUCAAAAUCAAUCUAAUGAAUUUUUACAAUGUUUUUACCUGUUUUCUACUAUGAAUUCAACUCCUUUAAUCUCUCCAUCAGAUUGUUUUCCCGAGUCUACUAGGCAGAAUUUCGGAUAUUUUCCCAGUUGUAAAUCAAAUAUUAUUUCUGCUUUGAGUUCUUAUGUAUUGAUCAACCAACACUUUUAAUUGUCGCUGCUUCGAGUUCUACCAUCUCUAGGUAAUAAAACUUGUUUGCAUCUUGCAUCCCUAUCUGAUAAGUAUUAUUGGAGUUCAUUUUGAACUUAAUUUAUUAGACUUUAUUGGAAUGACAUGAGCAUCUUUCUAUGAGCGAAAACCGUUGUCUUGUGGUAGCCAACAUUGAGAACAGUUAUCUAUGAGCGAAAGCCGUUUUUGUUGGUGUCUACAUCAAAGGCUGCCUAUGAGCGCCUUUUUUCAGACACUAUUGGAUGACAAUAAGCCGUUGUCGUAGCCUUUUUUCUUGUAGUGGUUUUUAUUUUUUACUAUAUUAAUUGAUGAAGCUGAAAUCAACGAUAUUUCAAUCACAAUAUUUUCCACCAUAUCAUCUAGUUCACAAGAAAGCAUUUUAUGCUUCUGUUCAUAAUGUCCAAAAAUAUAUAAAAGUUCUUCAUCUUGUGACAAGUUAGGGGAACAAAAAGUACUCUUUUAAUUUACAAAGCAUAUAAAAAAUAUUAGGAAAUAUCGCUUCUUUUUUACAUGAUAUAACAAUAAGUAAAUUAGAUAAAAUACCAUGAAUGACAAUUCAGCUUUAACCAAAUAUGGAAACCCAAAUGGAAAGAAAUGAAUUAACUUCAAUGCUUGGAGAGUUUGCGUACAUAUGUAUACAUAAUACAUAUAGUCAUAUACAUCUUUGUAAUACUUGAGACUUCUAUCAUACCUGCUCUCUCUCUUACCACUUGAUUUUUUAACCUUUACCGCCCAUAACCCCAAAGUCGUCACUUGCCAGCGCUUUCCGGAGUAACUAGUUAUUUAUUAAAAGAAAGAAGAAAAAUGAAGAUAAAAGAGAGAUAAAACACCCAUCAUUUUUUUAUCCUUCUUGAGCCCUAAUUCCCCUUCUCGUCUGCAUCUUCAAUUCCAGAGUUUGGGGACACAGCAGCAGAUUCAAGAAAAGGUAUUUGUGGAAGAUGAUUUCACCUUACAUUUCUUUUUUAUGGUGAAGAUAUUGAAUGAAUUUUGUUGGUGGAAUUACUGCAAUCGAUGUUUAUGCGUAAAUUGCUGAAAUCACGUUUGAAAUUUUGAAAUUGACGCUUAUUCAAAUAUGCCUGCAUCUCUUGAUUCCUACAUUCUCGCAUCGCCUCAGUGCCUCGAGGCGGCCGCCUUUCGCCGACGAGGCGUGCAUACACGAAAAUCUUACAGAGGCGCACAUAUUGGUGCUCUUCAGCGUUGAGUUGCCUUGAGGCGGCCUCAAGGUGUCCACCUCCAGCGAUUUUCACAACAUUGGCUUUGUCAUCUCUGAUUUCUAGAGAGAAACUUAUUGGGAGAUGAAGAAAGAAUUUGUUUGACGCUUCACUCAGUCAAUAAUAUGAUUUUAAUUAUAUGCUCUUCUCUAUUUUCUUACACAAUUGAAAAAUCUGUUCUGUCUUCUGAAAGCCUGAAAGUAGAUUGUAAUAUAUUUUAAAAUACAUAUUUUCCUCCGCAAACCAAUAAAUAUCACGCAUUGAUGUGUAAAAGACAUUUCAUGGUCACCUUCAUGGUCUGUAAUGAUGAAAAUAAUCACAAAUAAUUGGUGCUAUGUAGGUGUAGGUGAUAUAGUUUAUGAUAUUUCCUGAUAAAUGCUUGGGGUGAAACCCUUAUUCUGGUGUUUGAAAGGUCAGUUUCAUUUGGAGACUUUGAUGAGGAAAAAGAAGGAUGGAAAAUGUGAUCUCCUAUGCAUCUAGUCCAAACCUUGUCGUGAAGUUCAGUCACUGGAAAAUCUGUUUUAGUCGGCUAUCUCUCCAGUGCUAAAUGGUUAAUCUUUUGCUAUCCUCUUCCAGUGUCAUGGAGCACGGGUCGAUCCAGGAUCAAUCACAAGCAACAUUCUCGUUGACAGAUGAAGACCAUACUCUAGCAAACUCAGUUAGAUAUAUUCUUAAUCAAGAGUAAGUUUUACCACUCUUGUAAUCUGGAAUGCGAGUGAGGGGGUGUAGUGGUGAAUGCAUUCUUCAUACAGGCAUAACCAGUCUUUUGUAAUAAAAUGAUCAUGUUUGGCGUCAACUGUUAUUUUCCUUAUUCAUUAUCGGGGUCAGAGCACACUAACGAGGAAUAAAUGUCCUUGCAGCCCAAGAGUAACAUUUUGCGGUUACAGCAUACCACACCCUUCCGAUGCUCGGGUGAACAUAAGAGUGCAGACUACUGGUAAAGUUUGUUAACCUUUCUUGGGAACGAUAUGCCAAUUCAGCUAGUAUAACAAACAAAUGUGAAAUCUCCCUUGCUUAAUGCUACGAGAAUGGACAAGUAACUUGCAUUUAUGUUCAUAAUGAUUUAGAACUUCUCUUUUCUAUGUUCAAAUUAAUAGGCAACUUCCACACAUCUAUCCAAGCAAACAUAUUCUCUUCCUUUGUGUGUGAAUAUUCCCAUUUUUGCACAAUGACUGCAGGUGACCCAGCACGCGAGGUAUUGAAAGAUUCGUGCCAGGAUCUAAUGCUAGUAUGCAAGCAUGUUACGAGCACCUUUGAUCAGGCUGUUAUGGAGUUCAAGAGUAAGCAAGGCAUAGAAUCCAUGAAUAUUACACCCUAAUAUAAAUGGUGCCCUUUUAAAUUUAAGCCAUAUUUCUAUGUAGAAGAAGUUAUCAUAUAUGAGAAAUCUUAAGCCAUUUAUCAGUGUUUUGGUUUCUGUUGUUUCGUGUUGCUACCUUUUUGUAGUUAUUUCUAACUCUUCAUGUUAGAUGGAGGUCAUUUCGGCAAACAAAUAUUAAUUGAUCCAAAAUCAUUGCACCAGAUGAUAUGUGAUAUUGAAGUUUACAACUAUUACUAAGUUUUAGUAUUUUGAUUUUUGAGGGGUUGAAGUUGUAGUUCAACAACAAACUCAUUAAGUUAAACAAAUUCAAUUCGUUCGAAAUUUGAAGAGGACCAAUGGUUUUUCAACUUUGUUAUUGCAGUGUGUAUAAUUAUUACUAGUGUAUGUAAACACUGAGAUUAUGUAAGAUGUACGUAUUUUCAUGACCGUUUUUAAAAUUUAAGCAUACCUUUUUAAAUUUUGCAAUUCUAGUAAUUAAUCUGUUGCAAUUUAUUACAGUUCCAUGCUUGUCUUCUGACUUGGACGAAAUCAAAGUGAAGUCUCUAUGUAUUAAUCUGACAUGUGUUGGGUAAAAUGUCAUGCUUUCAUUCGUUAUAGUAUAAAAUUAACCAUAUUACUGUCAGAUCAAUACAUGCACACACUUAGAUCUAACUUUAUUGCUACUCUUGAGAAUCAUUUGUUAUAUAAAAUGUUACUAUUAGAACUUUACAAAUGAGUAUUAAAUUUUGUUGAACAUUAUUGACAAAGUUGCAAUUGUAAUGACUAAAUAUAAUAAGCUAGAGAUUGUCUUUUUGUCAUGAAAAAAGAAAGGGUGAGAAAAAGAAGUUUGUUGUCUCCUCACAUUUUUUUAUUUGUAAAUUAAUGAUUUUUUGAAGAAAAAAAAUCAUUUACUACUAUAUAUGAAGUAAAACAUGAGCUACGCUUGUAUGCAGAAUAGCAGCUGAGGUUGUUAUAGGAAAUAAUUGCACAAGUUGACAAUAGAUUAAGGUUGUGAUAUAUUAAUAUCAUCCGACAUGAAAUCAAUUGACUAUCUGCCAAUCAUUGAAUGAUAGCUAAUCAAAUUUGAUCUUACAUAUUUUGGGUUAUUUCCUGCCUCUAAGAGUAGAAGUGGGGCCCUUAAAGUCUUCAACUUUCACCAGAUGUUGGUUAGGGACAUCCUCACAAUAAUUUGACAUGUUAUAUUUCAUGGUUACGCUUAAAUACGCGAACUUUGGACUUAUUUUGAUUUUUUAGAAUAUAUUUUAUACAAAACAGUAAAAUAAAUUAAAGUUCGUAUAUUUUUUGACAAUUUUUAAAAUUCGUGGAAAAAACAAAAAUAAGUUAAAAUUCGUGAAAAAAAAAAUCAAAAUUGAUCAAAAAUUCAUGUAUUUAGAUGCCAAUAAUCUUAUAUUUUAAUAAUAACACAGUAUUACUGUGUUAGAUUAUUAAUAUAGUUCUUCAUUUAUAAAAGCUUACAAAUACCAUUAAAUGUCAUAAUAUUUGACAUUUUUUUCAGAAACGGAAUAUACAUGUAUCCAACAGUGCCAUGGAUAUAUAUACGUAUAUCAUAAAAGAUUGUGAAGAAUUUUUUUUUGUGACACGUUAUAUUAAAAUUCUAAAAAAUUAAUCACUAAAUGUAAGAUAACAUUAUUUUAAUUUGACGUGGCACAAAAAAAUCCACACUUUUUCACUAUCACCUACCACAAGCCACAUGAACAUUCUCGUAAUGAGUUGGUUUUGGGUAUACCCGUAUAUAUCGUACAAUCGAAUUAUACAUUCACUUAAACUUUGACCCGCACCCUGAUUUGAACUCAUAUCUCGAUUCAACCCAUAUAAAUAAUACUAUUAUGGGUACGGGUCAAACCCGUUGUAUGGUACACCCAAGUGUACCCAAUAUUUUGUGUCUCGGCGUAAUUGAUAUGUGAUAUUUCAUCUGUCUCACAAAAAUAUGAAUAUUUAAUAGUGACACGAUUUUAAGAAAUAUUAUAUGAUGAUGUACCGUAAGUGAAAAAGGGGUCUCACUUUAUGAAAAUUAGAGAUAAAAAAAUAAAAGGAUUGUGGUGGUUUAAUGUACAAAAAUAGAAAUGUUCAUAUUUUUAUGAGACGACCAAAAACGGCAAAAUAUUCAUGUUUUUGUGAGACAAGUCGAGUAUCAUUAAAAAAAAUAUUAAAAUAUUGUGAUUCAAAUUUAAAGGUAUAACAUUAUUAAAAUAAAGAUAAAAUGUUAUAAUAACAUCAUCUGCUAUUUACCCUUUAUAACAUAAUAGUAUUACCUAAUGGGAUUUAUAUAAAAUGCGCAGGUGAUAUUCAAUAAAGUUAGGGGUUAGGAGUGUUUACUCUCCUUCUUGAUAAGAUGUACUCUCUCCGUCCAUAAAUAAUAUGUCUAAAUGACUUCGACACGAAUUUUAAAAAUUGUGUUAAGUGUUUGUGAGUGGGAUAUGAGUCUCAUAAUUUUUGUAGAUUUUUGUAAGUAUAAUAGUAAAAAGUGUUUGUGGGGUAUAUUAUCAUAAAUGAAUUAGGCAUAUUUUUUGGUGGACAAAUCAAAAUGACAGAAUAUGCAUAUUUUUGGUGGAUGAAGGGAGUAUUAUAAUUGAAUAUUUUUAUAAUUAAGAGUAAAAUUUCUUUAAUUUCACUCUUUUAAUAGAAUAUAAAUCAAAUAAAAUUAAUUUUUAUAAUAAAAAUAAGGCUUAAUUGCAUGAUAAUACACGAACUUUAGUCGCAUUUUCAUUUUGCACAUGACUUUUGAAAUUUACAUUUUAAAUCAUGAACUUUACAUUCGUUCCAAUUUUUCCUUAAAAUUGAGCUCCGGCCAUCGGAAAUCUGAUGUGUCUUAAAGAGUGCCACAUAUUCGUCUGACGUGUCUUUAAUUAAAACACAUCACCAGUAGGAAGGGGAACCACGCAAUCCAAUUGAAACACGUCACCACAGCAGGAUCCACAUGUAUUAUCCUUCAGCGCACCGAAUAAUUCCCCAAACACCGAGAUUUUUCCCUUCUUCACCGGCUCCGCUGCCACCGCGGCAGGCUCCUCGCGGACGAAGGUGAGGACGAGGACGGUGAGGAUUAGUAGGAGGGCGAUGGAGAUGAAGAAGCAGCUCUUGAGAUUGGCGCAGUAGAUGUUGCAGGUGUGGGUUUUGGAGAAGGGAAAAAUCCUGUAGAGGUGGGUGUAGGAGCCGGCGGCGUAGCCGAAGACGUUUCCGACCGCCAUGAUAAAUUCGCCGGCAAAGCUUUACAUGGCCCCUGCAAAACAUCACUGAUUACAUUAACGACAUAAUCCAUGCUCAUCAAUCAUCAUUAAACCCUAAAAAAUGGGGAAAUUUUACAUAAAUGCCAGCGAUCGAUAUAGUUUAUGCCCCUGACUGAAAUUGAAUUAUCUCAAAACAUAAGCACAAUUCAAUUUCUACCUGCAACAUGUUAUUAGCAACAUCGAGGAUCCAGAAUCCUACGACGAAAACGGCGAUGGCCCUAGGCUUAGGGCCCUUGCCGGAGGGAUCGCCGUCGGCGUGCCCUAAAUCAGCGGCGAACCCGACGAGCGCCGCUCCGGCAGUGAUGAAGGGGCGGCGCCGACUGAAGCGGGAGGUGCAGUUGUCACUAUAGUAUCCGACGAUGGACUGCACAAUCAGACCGAAAUUAGGCUGCACAGCCAGAUGAAGGCCGCCCACGUGUGGGGGAUUCCCAGCAGCUGCACGUAUGGAGUUAGGAGGGAGAGCUGUAGUCACAGACGAAAUCGACAUUUGCGCCAAUUUGGUGAGGAACCCUAAUAUGCGAAAUAGGAAUCAAAUGUGAUGAAAUGGGAAAAAUUGGUGACAUUUAAACCUAAUUGCGCCAAUUUCGAUGCCGUUUUCCUCUUUUAAAAACGACGGCGUCUAAGUUAUUUUCCGAUGAUUUAAAUGGCACAUGCCCGGCUGCCACAUAGGCUCCACAUCAGAUUUCCGAUGGCCGGAGCUUAAUUUUAAGGAAAAAUUGGAACGAAUGUAAAGUUCAUGAUUUAAAAUGUAAGUUUCAAAAGUCAUGUGCAAAAUGAAAAUGUGACUAAAGUUCGUGUAUUAUCAUGCAAUUAACCCUAAAAAUAAUUAAGGAUCUUGAGAUAUUUCAAAAUUUCAAUUUAUUUAAAAAUAAUAAUAAUAAUUUACUUAUUUUAUUGAUCAAGGCUAAUCUUAAAGAGUAAAUGUCUCGUUAAAAUAUCAUCUUCAAUAGAAGCGUAGCAGCUCAAUCAUACAAUUUAGAUUAAAUGUUCAAUCAGAUAUAUACUUUGAGGUGGACGUUAUCACUAUAUUUACUUUUUAUAACUUCACGCUUUAGAUCUUCUUAAUUCUUUCAAGUUAUAAUUGCUUUAACUUUAGAUUCUUUGCUUUAAUCAUAACUAUCAUCAAACUUUUAUUAAUUCAUCAUCUCACAAUCUCCAUUAUAGAUUCAACUUUUCGUUAUUUGCCAGCAGUUAUCAAUUACUACAAAUUAUUCGGUAAAUGACACUUUCUGUGCUUUCUUUUCUUACGAUGAUAUCAGUGGUCAAAGUAAAGUGAUUUAUUUUAAGGGCGAAGUAUAUUUAAAUAGUACCAAAAAAUUUCAUAUUACGGUAUUAUGUAGAUACUAAAUUAUUAUUAUUAUUAUUUAUAUUUUGAUUUGACAUCCAUUAAUUUGUCCUUCAUAGAACCUUUAAAAUCGAAUAACUCACCACCGUUGGCCACGUUUGACGUGGCCUUCAUAUGGCAUCCACGUGGAUAAAAGUUUAAUUCUUUUUAUUAAAACUAUUGACAAAAAUUAAAGAACUAGACUUUUGGUCGUGCGCGGUAGCCACUAGUCAAUUAUUCACUAUACUUUUGUUUCAAUUAUGUAACACGAUACUGUAACGUGCGUUCAAAAUAAAAUUUUGAAGGGGAAAUGGAUGAAGAAAACUGUGCUUAUUUAUACAAAAUCCUCAUCAUUCAUAAAAUAAGCGUAAUUACUCAAUGCCACAGAAAAGAAGAAUAUAAUACUUUCAUCCAUGCGGGUCCUGCAUUUGGUGAUAAUCCAAAAUCUCUAACUAUUUUACUUUGUUUUAGAAAUUAUAUUGUCCAAAUAGAAACAAGUAAUAAAUUUAUAAUGAUUGAUUAAGAGAUUAGUUAUUGGUAAGGCUGACAAUUUUAACACGAUACAAAAAUACGAUAUGAAAUUGCACGAAAUUAAUGUAUUAAUGUUAAGUUUUAUCGGGUUCGUGUCGACCUGAUAAGGACACAAUAAUUUCAUGUCAGAUUCGUGUCGAAUUCAUAUAGGGUUCAUGUAACUCGUUAAAUUUAUAGUGAUUGGUUAAGAGAUUAAUUAUUGGUAGGGCUAACAUUUUUAAACACGAUACAAAACUGCUCGAAAUUAAUGUAUUAGUGUCAAUAAAUAAAUUUAUAAUGAUUGGUUAAGAGAUUGAUUAUUGGUAGAGCUGACAAUUUUGAACACGAUAGGAAGCUGCACGAAAUUAAUGUAUUAGUGUCAAGCCUUAUCAAGUUCGUGUUAUUAUCAUGUCGACCUGGUAAGGACACAAUAAUUUCAUGUCGGGUACGUGUAACCUGUUAAAAUUAAUAUUAUUAUUUUUAUUAGAUAUUUAUUUUAAUUCUUAUUUUAAAGUUAGGAGUUUUGACCAUUUGAAAACUUUUUUUUCCUAAUCUCGUCCUCUGUUCUGUCGUUAAGUAACACAAAUUUUCAUACAAUUCCUUAUUUAUUUUAAUUUUUAUAUUUAUCAGGCCAUUUUUAAUCAAUGUUUUACUGGAUUGUGUCAUUUUUGUAUCGAUUUCGUGUCAUGCCAACACGAUUCAAAUCGCGUUGCUAUCGUUUUUCGUGUUGUGUUCGUGUCGUGUUCAUAUUUGUGUAGAUUGUAUCGUGUUCGUGUCGAGAAAUUUCUUAACAAGUCAUGUUCGUAGUUGACCUUAUCGUGUCGACUCGAUAACGAUCCGACACACAUGAUUUGUCAGCCCUAAUUACUAGCACAUAAAGCAGACAAAACAAAUACGGACAAUUAUUUUUAAAAAAACAAUAUGAAUAAUUAAGGUGGGACUCAUAUAUAGGCAUGUUAAGAAAUCGAACUUACUGUAAAUAAAUUGAAUUGAUCUGGUUCCCAUUGGUUCGAUUUGUUUUCUAGAGAAUUUUCGAAUUUCAUUCUUUAUUCAAUUUUAAUGUAAUUAGUCCUCUUGCAGCAGAAAAGUAGAAUAUCCUGGCUUCAGGAUGGUGAUCGCAAUACUGAAUUUUUCCACAAGAUGCUUCGUCUCAGGAAUUCUAAUCUUCUCAUUGGUCACCUUAAUAUUAAUGGUAAUAUCACUUAUGAUCAGGAAGAUAUUGAGCGCCAUAUUGUCAAUCAUUUCACCAAUCUUUUCUCUCAAGGGGCGAGCGGUAAUAUUGAUUUAACUGAGCUUGAAGCCAAUCUGGAUGCCAAAGUUUCUGAGGAGCAGAAUUUGGAGCUCACUGCUAUUCCUUCGGAUUUGGAGAUCUAUGCUACGGUCAUGAGCAUGGACACCAAUAGUGCUCCUGGUCCCGAUGGGUUCUCGGGUCUCUUCUUCCAAAAUUGUUGGAACACGGUCCGUGAUGAUGUGAUUAGAGCGGUUCGGGGCUUCUUCCUUAAUUCUUAUUUGCCGAACGGAUGCAAUGCGAACACUCUUAUCUUGAUUCCUAAGGUUGACGAUGUCAAAUCUAUUUCUGACCUCAGGCCUAUCAUUCUUUCGAACUUUUUCUUCAAAAUAAUCUCGAAGAUUAUGGCGGUUUGCUUGAACAAGGUGGCAACUGUUGUGGUCUCGCCUAAUCAGUUCGGCUUCAUAAGUGGGCGCUCGAUCCAUGAUUGCAUCAUGUUGGGCUCAGAGGGAUUCAAUUGCAUGGAUCGUACUGCACGUGGAUCAAAUAUGGCUUGUAAAAUCGACAUCAAGAAGGCGUUUGACACCAUGAGUUGGGACUUCAUCCUCAAAGUCUUGAGGGUAAUGGGUUUCCAUCAGCAGUUUCUCACCUGGAUUUCCAUUAUCUUCAGCUCUGCCCGUAUCUCCAUUCUUUAUAACGGGCGGCUUAGCGGUUAUUUCGCUUGUACUAGAGGAGUUAGACAAGGGGAUCCCUUAUCUCCCAUUCUUUUCGGUAUUGCCGAGGAUAUGUUAAGUCAGAUUCUCAUAAACUGUGUUGCCUCGCGCCAUCUCAUCCCCAUGAGCUACAGCCGUUCUCUUUUCUUUCCUACGCACCUGCUCUACGCGGAUGACAUUUUGCUUUUCUGUAGAGCUUCGACUCGUAAUGCGAAGAAGGUUAAGCACAUCCUGGAGUAUUAUGGCUCUCUUUCUGGGCAGAUUUGCAGCCUGGAAAAGUCUCGUAUCUACUUUGGGAAAGACGUCAGUACUUUGAUAAAACGAGGCAUCAACCGGGUUUUGGGUUUCACGCAAGGGGGUGAGCAGGUGAACUACUUAGGGGCCCCUCUUUUUGUGGGAAGGCCUCGCGUUUCUCACUUUAUGAGCAUUAAGGACCGCAUUGUGCAAAACUUUUCGAGAUGGGCGGGUCUUCAUCUUUCGAUGGCAGGACGUCUUUGUCUUGUUAAAUCUGUCAUCCAGAGCUCCAUCAUUCAUACCAUGAUGGUUUAUCACUGGCCAAAGUCGCUCCUUCAUGAGUGUUAGGUCCUGAGGGUCUCGAAUAGGUGUAUGGGGGGGAUACACCUAUGGGCUAUUUUUAAACAAAUCCUCAAUCAGAGGGAUCUCAGUCAGAGAUCAAAAUGAAACUUUACAUGCAAACAAAGACGCCUGUUUUACUGAAAUCAGUUUUGACCAAACAGGGUUGACGACUGAUACUGAAAGCUCUUCAGUAAAGAGUUAUCAGUUAAGUUGCUGGAACUUAACUGAUGCAAGUAAGGGCUUCAGUCGAGUUUGCUAAAACAGAGAUGAUAACACUCUUCCUGACUAUAAGAAGAUAGAUCAGUCAGACUGAUAUCAUACGCAACGGAAAUUAAACUUAGUUUCGCAAUAGCCUCGGUGGAGCACGUUGUUGGUUAUUAGGUUUCUCUUUGCAGUUAAUCAGUAUUCAGUUUAUCAAUUGAAAUAACACAAGUAAGAAUGUAAAACUGAAAACUGUAAAUAACACAGAGACUUUUACGUGGUUCGGAAAAACCCUUUCCUACAUCCACGGUUGGUUGAUCAGACCAACAAUCCACUCCGCAAGUGCUUAACAGGUGCACUGCAAACCAAACCGUGUGCUUGUCGGGUGCACACAACCGUACCACUGAAGAAAACCCUUCUUCAGUACCCACGCUUCACUCGCGUCGGAUUUCUCUUGCUUAGCACAACACGCGCUAAGACUCUCAGAGACGAAAACUCAGCUGAACUCCGAAACACUCAAACACUCUUAUGGGGGGGAGGUUUGAACGAGUGCCAACUAUACUUACAAAGAACAAGUUCUUUGAAGCAAGUUUGACCUUUGGCUUCUGGGUAAACAGAGGUUUGCCUAAGGUCUAAGAGAAUGUGUGUAAUCAGCAGUGACUGAUUUUGGCUUUGGAAUUCUCUUCUUCGAUUCAAGCUUUGGGGAGGUUAAGCUUUAGGCUGAGUAGAAAUUUCGGCAGAGCUUCAGCUUAUGUCGUUGAAUCGGUGAAGGUUGAAGUGAUCCUUGAGCGCUAUUUGUAGGAGAACUCUUGAAUAGAUCCGUUGGCGUAGAUCGUCCUCAAGAUUUCUUCCGUUGGAAAUAAAUUCGAAUUUGGGCUGAGGCUUCAAUCUUCGAGGUUCCUUGUCUGGGUGGAAAUGGCUCUCUUUGAUGGACAGGAGAUGUGACGUCUCUGAAAAGUAACCACCAGAUAGGAAUGACCUCUGCAGAGAUAAGAUCCUGAGAUCUCUGCAUUUAAUGCGGCUGUACUUUGUGAGUACGUGGCUUCCUCUGAACGUUGGAAGAUCAGUCCGAGGAGGAAUAUUCAACUGAUACUUGACUUUAGUAUCAGUCCAUUGCGCGCAUUAAGUAAUCAGUCUUCAACUGAUUCUUCAACUGAUACUUCAGUUGGUAUCUGCAGUCUUCAGUCUUCAGUCCUUCGUUCUUUAGUCUUCGACACCGCAAGCUAAACUAGUGUUAGUCAAAAAAGGGUGGCUACUUUCCACCAUCAUGUUUUUUCUUCAAAAGUUGCGGCUGCAACAUUCAACAAAGGCAGCAAACAAUUUUUCCAUCUUGGCUGCCACCUACCACCUCCCCUGCCUAUAUAAUGAUCCUCGCAGCAGCAUCCCAACACCACCCAGAACCCCAAAACCCCCAGAACAACACCAGAGAAGGGUGUGAUAUUAGAGAGAGAGAAAUCUUGUGUGAGGAUAGCUUCUGAGUGGAAGUUAUACACGAGUGAUAAAAGUGAGUUGAGAGAUAGCCUCUGCGUAGGCAGAUACAAAAUACAGUGUGGUAUUUUUGUUGUACUCCUCCUUUUGAGAUUCUCUAAUAUAUUGGUAUGGGUCCGUGGACGUAGGCAGUUUGGCCGAACCACGUUAAAAAUAUCGGUGUCAUUUUUCUUCUCGUUUCAUAUCGGUCGAUAUCCACAAUAUUGAGUCACACUUGAUCCCGGGCGGAAUUAGUUGUGUCUAAUUUCCCAACAACAAUCCUGGGCGGAAUUAUUGGAGUCUAUAAUUCCCAACAACUAGAAACGAACUCUAACACUUGAGUUCAAAAACGAUUCUAGUCUAUUACAGUUAAGACCUAUGAAUUUUGGUAUCAUCAAAACAAGGGUUAGGAUAUUCCACAAGGUUCCCAACAAUGAGCUUGAUCGAAAGUGCAGGAAUUUUAUCUAGAUUGGCAAGACGAAUCAGAAGCCUUCGUGUGCGGUGAAGUGGGAUCGCUGUUGCGCCAUUAAGGAGGAAGGAGGUUUGGGAAUCUGCUCCUUUACCCUUAUGAAUAAGAACUACCUUAUGAAGCUCGCGUGGAAUCUCAUUAAAGGCAGUUCCUUUGCGCACCAGUUGCUUAGAUCCAGAUAUCUCACGGAGUUUGGUUAUGUUAAGAAAAAUGUUGCGAAUUCUUCGAUUUGGCUCGGGCUCAAGCAUGAAAUUGAUGGGUUGGUGGAGAAUUCUUACUCUGCGAUUGGAGAUGGCAGAUCCACCCUCUUUUGGAUGGAUGACUGGCUGGGAUAUAAGAUAUGUGAUCUUUUGGGGAUUCCUGAAUAUAUGCACGAUUUGCUCACGCAUUUUGUUGCGGAUUACUACUUUGACAACUAUUGGCAUUUUUCUGAAAAUUUUGUUGUGAAUUAUCCUGAUAUUGUGGGCGAUAUCAUUCUUCUUCCUAUGGAUAAUUCCACGGAUGCUCAUUUCUGGAAACAUUCUCUACGCGGUGACGUGACCUCGGCACUGGCCUUCACCACCACGUGUCACCGGUACCCCAAAGUUACGUGGGGCUCUUGGCUCUGGGAUGCGGCCAUCCCGGUCCGUCAUUCGCUGACUUGCUGGAGGCUCAUCCAUGGUCGUCUGCCAACCAUGGAUUGUUUGAUCCGCCAGGGACUUGUUACUCCGAAUGUUUGCUGUCUCUGCUUGAACGAUGCAGAAAACAUAUCACACAUCUUUUGGGCUUGCAGGAAAAUUAAACAGGUGUGGGCUUCUUUUCUCAAUUGGUUCGGCCACCCCGAGCUCUUGGAUUGCAUGGAUAUUACGAGCUUUCUCGCUGUGGCGUGGAACAUGAAUUUCAGCUCCCUUCUGCAGCGUCUUUGGAAGAUUGGUAUCAUCAACUUAAUCUGGAUGAUUUGGACCAGCCGUAACAGUGUGAUCUUUGAUGAUAAGUCCUUCAGUGAAACCAAGGUGCUUAAGUUCAUCAAAAUUGCUUACAAAGAAGCGGACUCCUCGAAUCUGCAUCUUGGGCACAUGGCGAAUGAUUGGAAAGAAUAUCUCACGUUACGUGAGCUUGGCGUGAGGUCGCGAUCUGCCCCUCCUCCAGAUUACAUUGAUGUUCACUGGUGGCCUCCGGACUUGAAUUGGAUGAAAGUGAAUACGGACGGGUCGGCAUUGGGGGCGCCGGGAAGGAUUUUUGCCGGGGGCGUUUUUCGAGAUCACCGAGCAGAGGUUCGUUGGUGUUUUCAUGUGAAGGGAGGCUCGGGCUUUGCUUUGGAGGCAGAGCUGCUCGCUGUUAUCAAAGCCAUUGCCAUUGCUGAGAGUCGUGGUUGGCGCAAACUUUGGUUGGAAUCGGACUCUACUUAUGUUGUAGAGCUGCUUCGAAAGAAAUCGCUGGAGGUGCCUUGGAGAUUUCUGACUAGCUGGAAAGCGACGAUUGCCAGCCUCAGCAACUUUGAGUUCCGAAUUUCUCACAUAUACAGGGAAGGCAAUGCGGCGGCGGACAUCAUGGCUCACAGCUCGCGUCAAGAGGGCUGGUGGCCACAUAGCAUCGAGGCUAUUGAGACUGCGGUCAUCCGGGACAUGGCCUCGCACAGCCACACCAGACGCAUCUGAUGUGGUCGAGGCUCUUGGUUGCUGGUGCUGGGCGCUUUUGGUUUUCAACGAAUGUUGAGCUCUUUGGUGUGGAGCUGGCUGUUCGGAGAUAGCGGCACAACACUUUGAUCGAGCAUUUGGUGGGCUUCUUCGCUGUUGUUCUGUCGAACACCUGGGGUGCGGUGGCGGCUGUUCUUGGCCUUUUUUGUCGAACACUUGGUGGGCAAGUGGGGCUGGAUCCAGGUUCGCUGUUGCGUUGCUGCUGGUUUUACGUGGCUGUUGCUGGCUUGCCAGCGUGCUUUAUCGAGGUUCCUCAAGGUAAUUUAGUUAUCGGCGACAGCGUCNUAGCGGCACAACACUUUGAUCGAGCAUUUGGUGGGCUUCUUCGCUGUUGUUCUGUCGAACUACCUGGGGUGCGGUGGCGGCUGUUCUUGGCCUUUUUUGUCGAACACGUUGGUGGGCAAGUGGGGCUGGAUCCAGGUUCGCUGUUGCGUUGCUGCUGGUUUUACGUGGCUGUUGCUGGCUUGCCAGCGUGCUUUAUCGAGGUUCCUCAAGGUAAUUUAGUUAUCGGCGACAGCGUCUCAUCGGCCGGAACUAUUAGCCUUUCGUCCUUGGUCUUUGUUUGUGUGGUAAUCUCGGCGACGGAGUAUAACCGGCCGAUUUUUUACCUCUUUUGUUUUGAGUUUAGUUUAGUGGUAAGCUCACGGCGAUGGCGUAUAACCGGCUGUGUUGCUUCCUUUCGUUUGUUUUAUUUGCUUGAGCUAACGGCGACGGCGUCUAACCGGCCGUGUAGCUUCUUCUUUUUGGCAAUUAGGCGACGGCGUCUCACCGGCCUUUUGCCUCCGUUCGGUUUUUUCUGUGGGGUGAUAGACGGGUUGGUUUGGGGACGAUGGUUAGGCCGGAGUUCCGGAAACUUACCCUGCCGCUCUCACUCCCUCUUUUACAGUUGUCUAGACGGGUACUCUUUUUCCUUUUUACGGUUUUUCCCUCUGGGUUUUCCGUAAAAAGGUUUUAACGAGGCUCGGCCCUUAGUCUGCUUUCUUGUGCUUUCAAGGGUUUCUUAGGUUUUCCUUUUCCUUUAUAUAAAAUCGCAUUUUAUAUACAUAACGAAAAAAUUAUAUUUUAUAACAGAUUUUACCGUUAUGUAUUAUAUUCAUACAAAACGGUAAUCAAUAUGUUAUGUAUACUUCAUUUACCGUUAUGUAUACAUAGUAUAGGUAACGGUAUAUUACCGUUAUGUAUGAGCGCCCUCAUACAUAACACCACUAUAUAGGACGUUUUUUUUGGUACAUAGAAAACAGAAAUUUACCGUUAUGUAUGAGCGUUUUUUUUAGUAGUAAAACUAGACAUAAAUUCGAUUCAGUCACAAUAUUUUCAAGUAAAAAUUACACAAUUAUGCCUUCAUAAAUAUAAAAAAUCCAUAUUCGUCAAUUAUCUAGACAUAGAAUUAUUUAUUUGCAAAUUAAAUCAAUUUCUUCCACGGGAGGUAAUUGCAGAAUAUUGUUCCAAAAUCUUGUCUACAUAUAUGCCUACCUUGCCAUGGAGGCUACCACACCAUAGUCGCGUUUUGUUUUUUUUGUUUUUUCUUCUAUUUUUUUAUUAUUGUUAUUGUUCUGAUUAUUAUUACUAGUAUCCCAACUGUGCAUAUGCACGGAAUAAUUGAUAUAGUUAUAUAUAUAUAUAAAAAAUUAAAUAUAUAUUAGUUAGUCAUGUGUUGUGUUAAAAUAAAAAAUAUUGUGUUAUAUUGUAUAAAAAUAUAUAAUCUUUAAUAAACUAAUUAAUUUUUUUUAUAACUGUACUAUUAUAGAUAGAAAUGUUAUGAUGAAAUAAAAAACUGACAAUUGUUACAUACUCCCUCCGUCCACCAAAAAUAGUCCUAAAGAUGGACGACACCGAUUUUAAUAAAAAUGAUUAUUGGAGGGAGUAUUAUGUUUGUCGCGUGCUAAAAUCUUCAACCAACUUCGAUUUUUUACUCUUGAAACAACAACGUAGUUGGGUCGGGUUUGGAUCUUAAUAGCAAAUUUAGGAAAAAUAAAAUGAAUCCAACAAUAACAUCGAAAAAUUUGAAGAAUGUGUUGAAUGUGUGGAGAUAGAAAGAAAAAACGGUUUUAUUUCAGUUAAUGAGUAAAUAAUGAUUUCACGCAUGAGAAUCAUAUUUAUAAAUUACAAAGCAAAUAUAGCGCUAAGGUCCAUUAAUCGAGGCAAUUCAGCCCAUAAUCAUUUUGUAGGUAGCUUAUGCGACAAUAUUCAUUAAAGUCCAAGGCCUGAGGUCCCCUAUUUGAACUUUGAGUCCACUGUGAUGCAGUCUGUAAAUUUCUUUAUUUAAUUGUGUAAUUUAUAUAAAAAAAUACAAUUAAAUAUGGUGUAGUUAGUAGUUACAGCAAACAAAUUUAUAAAUUGUAUUAUAAAACUUUAUUUUUUUCUCGUUUUAGUGGAAUCAUUUUUUUACGGUCCUUGUAAAUUAAAAUAUCAAAAUCAAUUAUUUUAAUUGAAAUAAUAGAUAUAGUAUUAUACAUUUUAAUCUUUUUUUGUCAAUGAUUAAUGUGAAGUAAUAUUACCAUUUGAAAUAUUACAAUAAAACACCCAAAACCAAAUUCAUUUCUUUUCUCUGUAAACUAAAAACAAUAAGAAUUAUUGUUAAAAAACAAAAAAUAGAAGUAAAUUAAACAUAGGAAACAACAAAAAAUCACUCGCAACCCACAAAAUGAUUAUUAUCUUUUAUCAAACUCAUUUGUUUCUCUUUCUUUUCUUUUUCCUUUUUUCAAUAAAAUCACAAUUUAAUAAAAAAAAUCAUUUGUUUCUCAACCUCCAUAACAAAAUCACUUUUGCAAAUAAUAAAGAUAAAUAAAUUAAGUUAAAUAAAAAGGUGAAAUUUGUUGUGACAUAUGCAAAAAGAAUUAUAUUACAAAAAAUAAUGUUGCACUACUACACGUAUAUGGCUCAUCAAGUACCACAUAUUUUAUUGGAUGUGGAAGGACAAUGACUUUCAAGAUACUUAUAAAUUACGUACUCAUUUACCCAUGAAUUGAUACUUGCAACCCUUACUUUAGAUUGCUACAAUUAUUGUGGGUUCUCUUCAAUCUACAUUGAAAUAUUGUAAUAUAAAUCUGAAUUUAUGCCAACUACACAAAUAAUCUUUGUGCCACUAUUUAAUUAGAAAUACUCCCAUGUGUCUGUUCGUGUUUUUGGAUUUUCCUUUUUCAAUUGAGAUCGACUCUCUUUCUAUGUAUUGUCACUUUGUCAACCAGAAAAUAAAACUGAGGGUGUUGCUAUUUGCUUAUUUGUUAUCACCAUCCUAUUUGCACAUUAUUUUUUUGGAACAAACUGACUAUGCUGAUUAGUUUACUAUAGUCUUACAUACAUAUAUGAGACGAAUGUAAAGCAAAUUAAAUAAAAACAUUGAUCACCAAGCAUAGUAAUGCUUCGACAUGAUUGUAAAUGACAAUUUCAUAGGAUAUAACACACUGGAAAAAUAUAGCAUAGAUCUCAACUUUACUACAUACUAAUUAACAAAUUGAUUUUUUGUUUAUUGGGCUGUCCCCAAAAAAAUAUACUUCCUCUGUCCGCGAUAUCGUUUCCACAUUUUACAUUUCGAUCUGUCCGCGAUAUCGUUUCCACUUCCAUUUAUAAUUGUAGGGUCCACAUAACACUUUAUUAUCUUAAUUUUUUAUUUUCACCUUUAUUGUGGGGCCCAAACUCUCACUAUAAUAUCUACUAUUCCAUCCGUCCACAAUUUAAAACCCUACUUGCUAUUAAUUUUUUGUCCACAAAUUAAAGCCCUAUUCUUUUUUUGUACUUUUUUACUCUUCUUAUUUUCCUAUAUUUACUACUCUUUGCCACUAAUGGACCCACCUUAAACACCUUUAUCAUUUUUAUAUUUUAUAUUUACUACACUUUAUCACUAGUGGACCCACUCACAACACUUUUAUCACUUUAGUCAACUACCCUUAUAUUUCAUCCACAUCACCUUUUUCAGCUUUCUUAGUGUUCGUACCCACACCAAAAUGGGGCUUUAAAUUAUGGACGGAGGGAGUACUAUUUACUACUAUCCAUCAUUUUUCUUAAAACUCGCGUCAUCCACAAUGUGGAAACGAUAUCGCGGACAGAGGGAGUAUUCAAUUUUCCGAGAAAAAUCUUUUAGCUUAUGAAAAAUCAAUCUAACUAGUAUAUAUAUGAUAGAAUUUUUGAACUUAUCCCGUUGUUAUGGAAUUCCGUGAGGAAUUUCUUCGAAUUCAGAAUGGAAUGAAAAAGACGAAAUUGACCUCGACUCACCGGAAAGAAGCACAAAUAGACAAAUCCAACAAAGAGCCAUCCAUAAUAUUUAUUCUGUUUUGUUUCCACAUACUCCUCGGCCACAUCUUGUGCUUAAAUGCUCUCAAAAUUCUGAAGCAAACUUGCCAUGGAUUCUCCGCCUGCUCUCGACGACACGAAACCGGAUGGAACUCCGCCGCCUACCACUUCCAAGAGCGGCGUUAGAGCCUACAUUAGGUCUAAAACGCCGCGGUUGAGAUGGACGAAUGAUCUUCACAAAUCCUUUAUCAACGCCGUCGACCGCCUAGGCGGAGGAGAUAGUAAGAAAUGUUCUUUUCUUUGAUUUUGUUAAGGGAUAAUAAUAGUAUGUAAAUUACUAAGACUCUCACCACAUUUUGCUUCUACACACUAACUUCAAAUUUUGUAAUAAUUCAACUUUUAAAUUCAUCUGAUUUUGCUAACGAAUUGGAUUGCAGCUCAAUCUAAUCAUAACAUGGCCGUCUGAAAAUCCGAGGUGGCUAAAUCGGAACGCCAUUGGUUCUUACCCGUAAACUAAUAAAAUCUAAGUUUUGUUUUGGCAACUAAAUCGCGACUAAUUAAUUCAUUAUUCGUUAGUAAAAUCAAAUUAAUUUUAAUUUCAGUAAAUGUUAGACAUAUUUUUAAGUUGGUGUACUAAAACAUAUGUAUUCAUUUAGUUAAUCAAUUAAUUGCAUGUGCAUGAACAUCAAAAUGGUACGUGUUUUUCACUUUCUUAACUUUCAUAAAACCAAAUAAGAACGAGUCAUUUAUAUUUUCAUUGGUGAAACAUAAUUAAUUUAAUUUUGGUGAUAGGGGCGACUCCGAAAAUGGUGUUGGAGUUGAUGAAUGUGAAAGGGUUGACUAUAACGCAUAUCAAGAGCCAUCUUCAGGUUGAAGACAAAACCCUUUGAUAGAAUUUUUUGCGAAAAUGACGUAAUCUCUUAAAUUCUUUAGAAUGAAUUAUAUAUUUAGUUUUAAGGUACGUUUCAUUUAAUAGUUUAUCUCAUUCUUUCUGUCACGGACAGAUGUACAGGAGCGUGAAGCAUGAGCAAAUCAUAAAAGGUAUGCAAAUGCUAAUACUUCCACAUGUAUUAAAGGCCUCAUCUACUUCCUACAUUUAAUAAUUUUCUAACCAACAAUAAUAUGUAUUUUUAAAUUAGUAUUGUUAUUAGGGUUAAUAGCCGGAAAAUACACGAACUAUUUUCAAAUUUGCAUAUUGCACAUGACCUUAAAAAUUAGCCCCAUAAUACAUCACAUUUCAAUUUGAUUGCAAAUUGCACAUGCGUUGACCACCACCUUCAUCGGUGGUGAUGUGGCUAUCGGAUUUUGUUGACGUGGACGAUUUUCCGAUGUAGGAAUACGACGUCGUUUUGUUGUUACAUUACAACAUCCAAANGCUACAUACUAAUUAACAAAUUGAUUUUUUGUUUAUUGGACUGUCCCCAAAAAAUUAUACUUCCUCCAUCCGCGAUAUCGUUUCCACAUUUACCAUUUUGAUCUGUCCGCGAUAUCGUUUCCACUUCCAUUUAUAGUUGUAGGGUCCACAUAACACUUUAUUAUCUUAAUAUUUUAUUUUCACCUUUAUUGUGAGGCCCAAACUCCAUCCACUAUAAUAUCUACUACUCCCUCCGUCCACAAUUUAAAACCCUAUUUGCUCUUAAUUUUUUGUCAACAAAUUAUAGCUCUAUUCUGUUUUUUUGUACUUUUUUACUCUUAUUCUUUUUCUAUAUUUACUACUCUUUGUCAAAUGGACUCACCUUAAAACAUCUUUAUCAUUUUUAUAUUCUAUAUUUAUUACACUUUAUCACUAGUGGACCCACUCACAACACUUUUAUCACUUUAGUCAACUACCCUUAUAUUUCAUUCACAUCACAUUUUUCAGCUUUCUUAGUCUUCGUGCCCACACUAAAGUGGAGCUUUAAAUUGUGGACGGAGGGAGUACUAUUUACUACUAUCCAUUACUUUUCUUAAAACACGCGUCAUCCAUCAUGUAGAAACGAUAUGAUAGAAUUUUUGAACUUAUCCCGUUGUUAUGGAAUUCCGUGAGGAAUUUCUUCGAAUUCAGAAAGGAAUGAAAAAGACGAAAUUGACCUCGACGCACCGGAAAGAAGCACAAAUAGACAAAUCCAACAAACAUAUUUAUUCUGUUUUGUUUCCACAUACUCCUCCGCCACAUCUUGUGCUUAAAAAUGCUCUCAAAAUUCUGAAGCAAAGUUGCCAUGGAUUCUCCGCCUGCUCUCGACGACACGAAACCGGAUGGAACUCCGCCGCCUACCACUUCCAAGAGCGGCGUUAGAGCCUACAUUAGGUUUAAAACGCCGCGGUUGAGAUGGACGAAUGAUCUUCACAAAUCCUUUAUCAACGCCGUCGACCGCCUAGGCGGAGGAGAUAGUAAGAAAUGUUCUUUUCUUUGAUUUUGUUAAGGAAUUAAUUCAACUUUUAAAUUCAUCUGAUUUUGCUAACGAAUUGGAUUGCAGCUCAAUCUAAUCAUAACAUGGCCGUCUGAAAAUCCGAGGUGCUAAAUCGGAACGCCAUUGGUUCUUACCCGUAAACUAAUAAAAUCUGAGUUUUGUUUUGGCAACUAAAUCGCGACUAAUUAUUUAUUCAGGCUUCGUUAGUAAAAUCAAAUUAAUUAUAUUAUUUUAGUUGGUGUACUAAAAAAUAUAUAUUCAUUUAGUUAAUCAAUUAAUUGCAUGUGCAUGAAGAUCAAAAUGGUACGUGUUUUUCACUUUCUUAACUUUCAUNACUAUAACACAUAUCAAGAGCCAUCUUCAGGUUGAAGACAAAACCCUUCGAUAGAAUUUUUUGCGAAAAUGACGUAAUCUCUUAAAUUCUUAUAUAUUUAUUUUUAAGGUACGUUUCAUUUAAUAGUUUAUCUCAUUCUUUCUGUCACGGACAGAUGUACAGGAGCGUGAAGCAUGAGCAAAUCACAAAAGGUAUGCAAAUGCUAAUACUUCCACAUGUAUUAAAGGCCUCAUAUACUUCCUACAUUUAAUAAUUUUCUAACCAACAAUAUAUAAUAUGUAUUUUUAAAUUAGUAUUGUUAUUAAUGUAUGUUCUAUCCUCCAAACAAAAGAGAAAAUAGAUUAUUUUAGAGCUAACAUAACGUAGAAAGAUUAUUGUGCCAUAAAAACGAACUACACAAAGAUUAAAAAUGUUCCGAGCUAUAUAUAUAUAUAAUCAUAAGUUUAUAACUAAAUCAACAUUUUAACAGAAAUGUCCAAAGCCAUACAUAUAUAAUAGCUGAUCCAACAAAAUAUCCCAAUUCAAUUUAUGAUCGUAUUAGAAAAAAAAACAAAAAAAAGAAAACCAACUUUCGGGCUGUUAAACGACUUUCUUUUGAUGCAAGCUCAUUUUCAAUAUACUUUUGUUAAAAUUCACUGAACGUCUGACAACCCAUGUAAACCAAAAAUUAAAUUUUGAGACAUUUUGUUAGUUUUAUGAUUUUUAGGUUAUUUUUUUUGUAAUUAUGUAGAGUUUGAGAUAUUUUUAUUAAAAUGUCAAUAUUUGUUAUGUGAGCAUAAUUUUAUAUAGUUCACUAUAUUUCUUUCAAAAUGUUAAUAAUUAGGAUAAUAAAGUGAACUUUUUUUCUUUAAAUUAUUUAGAAGCAUAUUACUUAAUAUAUUGUCAUUGAAAUGUAUGUCUAAACUAGCUAAUUAUUGAGAAAGUAUUUAUUAAUUAAAUGAGACGGCGGAACAUAACUUUUCGGUUUGAAUCAUACGUCUCAAUAUUUUUGUAUUCCACCCGUACGUGUUUCACUAUAAUUAAAAUCAUUAUUUGAAUAAUAUUUAUAAUAUCAAUAUAUUGUUAUUGAUUAAUUAUGUCAAGAGUCCAGACUCUCGAUCGAAAGCAUUCAUUUAUUAAAGAGCUGGUCUUGGUACAACUGGUUGUACCGUAUAAUCUGGGUGCACCCUUACCUGCAUCCUGACCCGAACUCACAUUUUGAUUUAAACCACAUAAAUGACACUAUUCGGUUAUACACAUGACACUGCUUGUAAUUGACAUUAUUUGAUUGUACAAAUGACACUGUGUAUCAUUGACACUAUUCGGUUAUACAACCGACACUAAUCGUGUAAAUGACACUAUUCGAUUAUACAAAUAACACUGCUUAUAAUUGACACUAUUCUGUUAUAGAAAUCACACUAUAACAUUUUAAAAUGUCACAAUGUCAUUUAUAUAAUCGAAUAGUGUCAGUUAUAAACAAUGUCAUUUGUAUAAUUGAAUAGUGUCAAUUAUAGGUAGUAUCAUUUGUAUAAACGAAUAAUGUCAUUUAUACGGUUUGAGUCAGGAUGCAGGUCAGAGUGCAAUCCGGUUGUACGAUACAACAAAUUUUACCCAAAUUUUUGUAUUUAUUAAAAAUGAGAAGCAUAUUCAAAUUCGAUCGGAUCUAUCCCAACAUUUAUGCAAUGUCCUACUACUACUACUACUACUACUACUAAUAAUAAUAAUAAUAAUAAUAAUAAUAAUAAUAAUAAGGGUUAAUUGCAUUAUUAUUCCUGACCUUUUCCAAAUUUGGUUUUUUGAAAACUUUUUAAUUGUAGCAAAAAUUUAGCUACUUUCAAUUUUAUUGCAAUGUCCGUCCGCGUAUAUUUCCUACCAAAUCCAUUCAUUUCCGGCCAAUUUAUUUUAGCUACGUUUCAAUUUAUUGCAAUGGAUUUGAGACGACAAUGUUUCAUUACCCGGCACGACAUGCCACCUAAGCUUUACGGAGGUCCACCUCAACAUGGAUUUGGCCGAAAAUAUACGCGGACGGACAUUGCACUAAAUUGAAACGUACCUAAAAUUUUUGCUACAAUUAAAAAGUUUGUCAAAAAACCAAAUUUUGGGAAAAUGUAAGGUAUUUUGAUGCAAUUAACCCAAUAUAAAAUUAUAAAUUGGGCCAGCGGAUUUGAUAACGAAGGAAAUUGGACUCUAGAGUCUAGACCUUAUACAUUAGGAUGAAGUGGCGAGUACACUCUGCGUCCACUUCACUUAGUAAGAUGUUUCGUGGAUGAAGGGAGUAUAAAAAAUGAGAAUCGAUUGAUGUAUUGGACUAAUGUAUAGAACGGCAAAUAGAGCAACUCAUAGUUUGACACAAUACGUCACGCAUGAGAAUUGAUUGGUGCGUUGAACGAUGUUAUCUUUAAUGUGAUACGUUUUUUUCCACUAUUAAUAUUUUCGACAAUUUUCUCAAAAGCUUUUUAUUAAAAUUCGUGUCAAAAAAUUUCAUGCAUAAAUAUAAAAGACGGAGGAAAUAAUGCGAUAUUUUCUUCUUCUAAAAAAAAUUAUACUCCCUCCGUCCAAAAAAAAUAAUUCCUUUUUACUAUUUGAGAUGUCCACAGAAAUUAGUUCAUUUGCAUUGUUGGAACUUUCUAUCAGAUGAUGGGCCCCUUUCUCCGCUCACAAUACAAUUAAUUAUCAUUAUUAACACUAUUUUUUAUGUGGAAUCCUUUAUCUAUUCACAAUACAUUAAAUUAUUUUUAUUAAAACUCGUAUCGUCUCAUUUUAAGACUAUUUUUUAUGGAAGUAGUGAGUAAUUAGGGUUGUAAAUGAAUAGAGCUAUUCACAAGCUAAUUCGAGAUUCGACACGAUAAAAGCUCGUGCAGAGCUCGAUUCGAUAGUAAAUGAGCCAAACUCGAUCCUGAUUUCGAGCUCGAGUCUGAUAGCACUCGACUCAUUAAGUUGGUAAAUAUGUUCGGAUUCGAUUGUUCAAUAACAUGUUUGCGAGCCUAUUCGCGAACCUUCAAUCGAGUUACUACACGAGCUUUAAAGGAGACGAGCUCAAACUCGAAUAGCAUAUUAAUUAAGAUUUUUUUUUUAAAGUUUAAUGAAUUUGAGUUCGAACAUUAUCUAUACAUAUAUUAAAGCAUAGAAACUUGGGGGAAUGUGAUCCCGCCAAGAGCAGCAUUGUGUAACCCAAAGGUUGUUGCCUUAUUGUCCGAUGAGUAAUUGGCUGCAAAAAAUUGUCCAAUGAAUAAAAUUAUUCCUUCACUUUAUACAGCUGUAACAACUAGCUCUUUACAAUUUAGCUCCAAAACUGGCGCCCAAACUUCAAUUUGAAAUUUAAAAACAAGCAAUCUUGGAGCCAAUUUGCUGAUCACUUGAUGCCUAUAAAUAUCAGAUUAUUUCAGUCCAUAUUUUCGAAAUGCAAACUUUCUCUCUCUAAUAUUUGUAAUUCUAAUUCUUUUGCAUGUUUUUUAUGUUUUUAUGUGGUACUUUCCUGCAAACUCUCUAAUCUUGGUUAUGCUAAUUCUUUUUUAUGUUUUUUAUAUUUUUAGUGGUACUUUUCUCUCUAAUCUUGGUUAUUCUAAUACUUGUGUAUGAUUUUAUGUUUUUAUGUGGUACUUUCCUUUCUAUUUUGUUCAGUUUUUUGCUAUUUACAUUACAACUCAAAUACUCCCUCCGUCCCAAUAAUCUUGUCCCACUUUCCUUUUUGGGUUGUUCCAAUAAUCUUGUCCCAUUUCCUUUUUGGGUAAAUUUUAAGGCUAAUUAACUCUCACUUAAACAUCAUUCUAAUUAAACUUACCCCUCCAAAUUAACAUCACUCGCCUCUCUCUUUCUCUCUCUCUCUACCAUCUCCCUCAUUCUCCCUCUUCGCUCCACCAUUUCCCCUCUGCAAAUCCACCGGCGCCGCCGCUCACUUCCCCUCUGUUCCACCGACGCCGCCUCCCUCUUCCCCCUUUGUUCCGCCGCCGCCUCCGCCUCCGCCUCCCCCCUUCCCUCUCCUCGUUUUUUUUUCCUUCAGAAAUUAAUGCUCACCACCGCCGCCCUUCGCCUCUCCUCCUGUCCUCCUCUGUUCCGCCGCCGUCGCCGCCUCCCUCCUUCCCCCUCUGUAAAUCCGUCGAGCACAGAUCUAAGCCCUAAACUCCCUCUUCUCUUGCCUCGCCAUCAGCUUCCCUUCUCCGUCUCCACCGCUCUCUCCACCUCCGAGCCCUAAAUCCCCAAAUCCAAACGCCACCCCUUCGAUUCCGGCGACUGUACAGCCAUAGGGCUGCCGCCGCGGUGCCUUCUCCUGGUUAGCGAAGACGAUGGAAAACUUGUUGAAGAAAUUUGGCUUUUCUGUUCUUGGUUAACGAUUUGUUGAAGAAAUUCGUUUUUCUGUUCUUGGCUUUUCCAGAUUUUGUUCUUGGUUAAUGAAGAUGAUGAAAAAUUUGUUCUUGGUUUUUCUGUUUUUGGUUAGCAAAAAUUUGUUGAAGAAAUUGUUCUUGGGCUAAAGAUUUGAUUUUUAUUCUUGUUCUUUUGCUUAAUUUUGUUCACUGCUCCGGAUGGAGAGAGGCGGCGAUGAGGCAGGUGGCUGUGCCGACGCCGGGGAGGGAGGUGGCGCAGGUGUGGCUCCGCCGCUUACUGUUGCCGGGAGGAGGUGAAGAAGAAAGAAGAUAAACACAAAAAUAAUUAGUUGAUACUUACUUUUUCUAAAACAAGUGGGACCUUACAAUUUACAACACUAACUCAACACUCCUUAAUCUCCGUGCCCAAAAGAAAGGGGACAAGAUUACCGGGACGGAGGGAGUACAAUAUAAAAAGUAUCAAAUAUUUAUGAAUUUUUCUGUAGUUCAAGACUGGAGCAUAGCAUCUGCAAAAGCCAACGGAGCACAGAAUCUGUAAAAGCCACCAAAAAAAAAAAGGUUUAAGUGAAUAUUCAAGUUGGUAUGAAGAAGAAGAAAUUUCAUAUCACCCAUAAAAGAGUUCCCUCAUGUUAAUGAUACAUUUCAAUAGGUUUCAAAACCAAGAUUAUAUUUGUAUAUUUAUAAUCUACAUGGGAAAUUUUGAUGGAGGACAAAGAAAUACAAGCAUGUAUAUAUAUUUCAUUUUCAUUAGUUUUUCAUUUAUUUGACUCAAGAACAGUAUUAAAUACAAAAAAAAGUUCAUUAUAUAUAUUUAUGUGAAUGCUUUCUUUCAUCGUAUUUACUGAUUUCCAUGUAAACCAAACUCAAUAUAAUUGUGAAAAUAAUGUAAACAGCCAAGUUACAGAAACUAUUUUUUCAACAGUGCCUGUGGCGAGACUCCGAGUUGAUGAUAAUACCUUAUAGUGGUGGAGGCGGCCAAACUGAGAGUGCGUAUGAAAGGUGAAGAUUUAGGAGUGACGUGAGAGAUGGUAGCAUAAAACUGUUAAUCUGCAAAUUAACUCAAAUUAGAUUCAAAAUGCCAUAAAACAAAGUAAUCACCAAGUCUAAAAAGAGCACAACAGAGACACCAAAAAAAACUAUUCUGUAAACCAUUCAACCUCAUAGCGUAGUAACUCACCAAGGCCUUAUCUUCAAGACCAUUUCUUGACAGCAUACUGAUAAUCAAGUUCCAAGAAACGGAGUUCCUUUCCGACAUUUGAUCGAACACUUGAUAUGCAUUGUCGACAUCAUUUAAUUUGCAGUAAGAAUCUAAAAUAGCGUGGUAGGAGAAUAUGUUUCUCAGAGGCAUUUGGUCGAACAGGCGGCGGCCGGCUGACGUACGGCCGCAUUUUGAAUAUAGCAUCAGGCUGUUUACCAGAAAAGUAUUUGAAAUUUGGCCGGUGCGAAAAAUCUGAGCUUGAAUUAUUUUUCCUGCCUUGUACGCUUUAUGAUCUAUGCCGAAUAAAAUUUGUGUAGAUAUUCAUAGAUCUAACAUAAUAAUAUCAUAAACACAAAAUAUAACUCUAACAAGAAAAAACUAAUAUGGAAAAAAAUAUACUUAUUCGGUAUUAAAAAACAAAGCAUCAUCCAAAAAAAACUUUUCAAAUGCUAUUCCUAGAUCUACAAAACUGAUACUAUAAAACAAAAAAAGAAAAAAUAAAAAAUUUAAAAAUGAAAACUAAUAAACGAAAAAAAAAAUAAGAUCUUAAUCAGUAUAAAAACGCUGGAAUUGGAAUUAAAGAUGCAGUCGAGGGAGAAGGCCGAGAUCUGGAGCGCUGGAACUGGAAUUAAAAAUGCAAAUAUGCAGUAGAGGGAGAAGGCCGAGAUCUGGAGCGGCUUGGGCUUGGGCGACGCCGUCGUUUGAAACACGAAGGGCGGUGGGGGGCGAUCGUAAGGAGUCGCCGACAUGAAUUUCAGAGAUAAGCUGGGAGAUGGGGCGAAAGCUAGGGUUUUAUUUUUGGGAGUGGUCAAAGAAAGCGAUGCUCGAUAAUAUGGCGGACGACGAGAAUAUGGCAGACGACGAGAGAGAAGGUGAAUAUGGAGAAAGAUGGAAUUGAAGGGGAGAAAGAUGCAACGAGGGAGAAGAGGAAAAGGGUAGAUCUGGAGAUAGCGGCGCCGCUCAAUUGUGUUAAACCCUAAAAUGAGAUAAGUGUUUAUAUUAUUGAUUAUGUAGUUGGGCUGCUGUACAAAAUAAUUACUAAUAGUUUAGUUGUAUCUAUGGGCUUAUUGUGGGCUAGCCAUGUUACACCACCAACAACCAGAUGUCGCCACCUCCAUUCAUCAUACCUAAUUUUUAUUUAUUUAUUUUUUAUUUUUGCAUCAUCUCUGCUUUGAAUUUUCUAAUGUGAAUAUGGAUAUGGAUCCAAUAUUUUUGCAAUACAUAUUUUUGCAAUUCUGAUAAGCUCGCCAAUUUUCAGCGACCUUUUAAGAUGUGACUUAUUUAAUUCUAUAUUUUAAAAUUGAAAUUAGACUUAAUAUUUAGUAUUUUAAUUCAUAAAAACAAAUAAAUUUAAGAAAUAUAUGGAAAAAUAUAUUGUCUCUUAUUUAUUUUUGUACAAGUACUACUUUUUUUUUGUAUAAGAUAUAAUAAAACAGUAACCGUAUUACAAAUCUGAAAUAUUAAAGCUUAAAUUAAUACAAAUAUGAAAUAUUAAAAAUCUGAAAUAUAAGAUAUAAUAAAACGGUAAUAGAUAUCACAUAUUUACUAUCAUUACAAACCUAGAGUUUUAGUACUAAUAUUUAAUACAAAAAACUUACUUAAUGCUAGAAAGUUGUUUGUUAUGUUUUUCAAAAGUCAAAUAUAUAACAUUAUAUAUAAUAGAUAUCAACAUUUUACAAAUGUUGGGCUUCGAAGUCAGCGUGAUUCUUCAAUUAUUGUUAAAACAAAAUAUAUCAUAGAUAUACAAUUUAUUGUUAAACUAGAAGUUUAUUUUUUUAUUAUUUAAAUAAAUUAUUUCUAUGAGAUACAUAGAAAUUAUAUCGAACUUUUUUUUUUCAUAAGCCCAAUACUUAUUAAUGCUUUUAGUCCGAUUAAUUAUUUGCUCUUGGGCCUUCAUAUUUUGUUGUGGGCCAAAUUAAAAUAAUAAUAAUAAUAAUAAUAAAGUAUGGUUUUUGGUCCAUACGUAGAAUUACUUUAUGCACAUAGAUUUUUUUAUGUAUUUUUAAUACAUAAGUUACUUAUUUAAUAUGAACUGUAAUACAUGUUUUAAUAUGAAUUGUAUGAUAUGAAAGUCAUUUAUUAUUUUAAUUCCUAUUUUUGUAUUAUGUAAUAUACAUGAUUAAUUUUUUAUUAUGUACCACUACUAUACUUCACAAAUACGUAUGAAUAUUCAUGUCGUGCGAAGCGCUGGUAUGUUACUCUUAUUAUAUAUGUCGUGCGAAGCACGAGUAUGUUUUAUAUCUACUUUUUUUUACAAUUCUAUAUAUUACUCUUAUUAUAUAUGAAUUGUAUUUGUGUUGUACUAUCUUUUAAUAUGAAUUGUAUGAUAUAAAAGUUAUUUUUUAUUUUUAUUCCUAUUUUUUGUAUUAUGUAAUGUACAUGAUUAGUUUUGUUUAACCACUUUCUAUUAUGUUUUGUAUCACUUUGUUUUUCUUUUUACAAUUCUAUAGUACCGCUACAAUACUUCACAAAUACGUAUCAAUAUUCAUGUCGUGCUACUCUUAUUAUAUAUGUUGUGCGAUUUGUAUCACUUUUUUUUUUGCUUUUUACAAUUUUAUAUGUUACUGUUAUUAUAUAUGAUAAAUACGUAUAAAUAAUUGGGUCGUGCGGAGCACGGGUAUAAUACUAGUUAUAUAUGAAUAUCUAACAAGUUGAGUUCAAGCUCAAUCUGGAAUUCGACAUUAUUGAAUAUCUUAAGAGUCGAGCUCAAAUAAUAAGAUAAAACCUCAAAUCAAACUUGAGUCGAGUUCGAACAAUUUAAUAUUUAAAUGAAUUGAGCUCGAAUUUAUUGGUGUUUCGAUUAGACUCGACUCAUUUAUAGUCGUGAGCUCCUUGUGCCAGGUAAGCCUAUGGCAAAAUAAUUGGAAAAAAAUAGGGACAAAAAGGAAUAAUGGAAGAUGAGGUCGAAUACGUUAUCCUAAUCUCAAGAUGGGUCCGCUUUCAAUCAAACUCCCAAUAUUCGCCGUUUCCUCCUCAAAGCCUCUCACUCCGCCGCCGCCGUCGCAGUCGCCGCAUCUCAAUGUCAGAUUCAGCUUCGUUCCAUCAAUAUCUUCGAGAAUUUCGCAUCGAGCCGCCGCCGUCGUCGGCAGUUUGCGCGCCUCAGCAACUCCGGCGCGCGAUAGAGUGAUCGAUUUCGGGAAAUACAAAGGGAGGAUGCUGGGGAGCCUGCCGUCGGCGUAUCUGAAAUGGGUGUCGAUGAAUCUACGGGCGGGCGAUACGGAGGAGUGGGCCAGGCUGGCGGACCGGGUACUGGCCGACCCGGUCUACCGCGACCGCCUCGAGUGGGAGGCGGCGGAGAACAUUCUCAGCGGCAACGCCGCCGCCGCAGCCGCCGCCUCCGGCGGAAGCGCGCUGCUCGAGAUCAGCGAGAGGUUUGGGUGGGACAACGAGGAUAAGAGCGGGUGGAGCAAGGUGGAUUUCGGGCUGCUAGGGACGUCCAAGGGCGCCAGGAUUCCCCGCGCGGCGGCGCGUGUGGGGAGUUUGAAGAAGGAGGGGGAGGAGCGGAGGAACGAGAGCGUGGAGGGGGGAGGAGAGGAGAGAGGAGGGAGAGAGUGAGGGGCUGGAGGGAGAAGGCGACUAGUGCCGGGACAACGAGGGAAGACGUGGAGAGUUCUUCUCCGGCGAGUGGCGGAGGCGCGGCGGGGAGUCCGUUUCCGGGGAGGGAGUCUCUGUUGAGAAAGGCUCUUAAUCGACAAAGAUUCUAGUCAAGUUUUUCCUUUUCUUUUUUUUUACUCCAAUUUUUAAUUAAUAGUUCAAAUAGUAAUUUUCUAUGCACCACAUUUAAAAUGGUACUAUUAUUAAUGGUAUUUAUUUUCAUGAUUUAUAAAAGGUGUGAUUGAAUAUUCUUAAAAAUAAAUUUUUUCAAUGUGAUUUUUAAUAAGACAAUAAUCAAGUAAACUUAAUUUAAAAUUUUAAAUAAUAAAAAUAAUCAAUUGUUAAAUAUUUUUAUUCUUAAAAAUAAAUUUCUUUAAUUAU